CCAGUGUUGACCAACAUGAAGAUGCGUACGGUCAUUCGAACACGCAAUUAAACGCCAUUACGAUGUAAUUAAGCAUCAUUAGAAAGCAGUAAACAUCCGGACUCUGUGGAACGAACUCUGAGAAUGGGCAGAGAGGAUGAGAAAGAGAGAGAAACUGAGAGCGAGAGGUUUACAAAAAAAAAAAACUAAUGAAUGAGGGACAGAAAUAAAUGAAAGAAAAUAGAUUUAAAUACGAUGAAAUUAAAAUAAAAUAAACAAUGAGGAAAAAACUGAACAGAGCAUGGAAAUAGUUUCUGUCUUGUUUCAUAUAUUUAAAUUUCAGACGUCAAUGGUAACACAUGAUAGCGUUUGCACAGCCAAACAAAGGGAUGUUUUCAUCUCUCUGUCCUUUCUCCCUGUUCUUUUUCCUCCCUCUUUCUGUUCUCAUCUAUCUUUCAGCAUGUGACACCAGUGUGAAUUCAUAAGAUACAUCACACCCUGUAGGUGGCACUGGUGCUGAAAGGAGCAGGAAGGCCAGUUUGGCCUAGUGUGUAUCUCAGCUUCAUUGAUUGAUAAGUGUCAGAGGAUUUCUGCCCCUGAGGGAAUGGUGGUGACUUAUUAAGGUAGAAGAAUGGAAUAAUGAUAACUUAAGUUUAAGUUCACACACACUGUCGAGAGUUAGGAAGACACAAGAGGGCAAUCAUACAAUCGCGUCACCUUUCUUUCAGCUUUGACACAAUGACUACAGAUGUCUGCACUGCUCAGUGCUGCGUUUCCUGGGAGACUCUAAGAUUUUCCCCUUGAACACAUAGACCCUCCCAACGUAAGCCGAGCCCCAGGAAUGAAGAUCUGAUAUGCACACACACACGCACGCACACACACACACACACACACACACACACACGCACGCACACACAAACACACACUACCAUAUGUUCUAAGAACCCACCACUCAAAAACACCUACUCUUUUUUCCACGUGUCUGUUUUGUCUUAUAUCUUAAGCUUUUGCCAUUGCCACCUCCCUCCCUAAUCCCCCUCUCUCUGUCCUCCGUGGUCAAGCUAUAACAGGGUGUGUCUGAGUGCUGAAAUUUUAUCUGAGCUUGGGGAACUCUGCUCCUAAAUCUGUUUCAUCUGAGGAAACCGAAACUGGAGAGAAGAUUAGACAGUGGGAGGGAGAAAAAAGAAAGAGGAGCGGAGAGUGGAUGGGAUGAGAACCAAAGGAACGCUCAGAUAUUGUCUGCUUGUUGACUGAGAGAAGAGACAUGUUCAUCAUUACCACUGCAUUUUUGUGGUCUUACAGCUCAUAUCCUCACACUCUUCCUUGGCCAACCUUUCCUGACCUUUUUUUUUUGAGACAAUGUCUGUUGUGAAAACAAUUUUUUUAUUUAAUUUUGUAAUACAAUUGGACUUAUAGAAGAUUUGUAACUAUUAAUUACCAACUUGCUAGUAAACACCUUAACUGUGUGUUUAAGGGCCAAAUGACAUUUUUGGCAUUUGGCCCUUAUCUUACAAUUAUCUUGUUUGGACAAACGAACAGUGGAGGGUUAAGGUUCUUAUGCAAGAGCACAACAGUGGCAGCAUGAUGGUGCUGAAACUUUUUUAUGAACAUUCCGAGCAGAAAUCCAAUGUCUUUGUCACUGAACAACCAAGUCCUCCUUCCCCGGUUUUCACACUCCAUUAAAUUGAUAUUUCCUCCCAGAUAUUUUGUUCUUGGUCGCCUAUAAAUGUGUGGGUGUUGAUAGUAAUCAUAGCUCAGACUGAACAGUAAAGUAUAAUCAAAACUACAUUUGUAUCUUAAAUAUAUAAUUGAGUGCUAAAUAUAUAAUUAAGAAUCUGUUAUGUGUUAAUUCACUCUUCUAGACAAGACUUUUUGUAGUACCCUAUUUUUUUUCCUUUUUUUUGCAGCUGCCAAGUCCCUAAGUGAAAAAGCAACACAAGCUAAAUAAAAUGUCCAUUAUGUAACAUCUCAGAAUAGAGCUCUGCUAAAUCUAGGAUAAAAGAUUACAAUCUGCUACAUGUCCACUGAACAGGACAAAAAACCAAACCAAAUGGCUACAUUCCAGAGCCACAGUGAGCACGGCCAACACACAUACCAACACUGCUAAAAACGUGGGAUUCUUCCCUUGUUGGGAAACGUGUAGAGAUGCUAUAUCAAAUACCAGACAAACCACACUAUUAUGGUCCUGAAGAGGAGGGGGAAGAUCAACAGUGACCAUCCCUCCCAGACUCCCAUGAGGACUUCAGAUCGUAAUCUCCUUCUCAUUACAGAGAGAUUCUGUCACUACCAUGCUAUCCUGGUCUCAGAGGACACAAGAACUGUAAUGUCCCCAAUGACAGACAACUUCCCAAAUAGUAAAAGCAACAGGGUGGGGUCAAGACAUCUAGGGAGGAGAGGAAACACAAUUAAUUGUGUAGUUAAAUAUGUGAGCUGGGUAAGGGCAGUGUGCAUGGACUUCAGGAAUGUAUGGAACAUGCUGGCGAUGAACUGAAGAUGCGGUGACGUUGGGAUUGACCUUGGUGCGUGAUGCGACAAUUCGGAAAAAUGCUCUGUAAACAGCUGAGCGUUACAAUGAACUUCCCAUCUGUAGCGUACAAAGACACAGCUGCUCCCAUAAGGGGUCGCCACAGCGGAUCAUCCUUCUCCAUACUACUUUUUCCUCUGCAUCUGCCUCUUUCAAACCAAUGGGAAAUUAUUGAAAUUAUCGAAAUAUUAAUAGGACCAAAGGAAGAAAACUUCUCACUGUUGUUUCUGUAAAAUGUACAUUUGUAGCAGACGCCAUUAUCUAGACUUACAACUGUGCAGGAGAGGGUUUUAGAGCUUUGCUCAUGGGCCCAGCAGUGGCAGCGGGAUUUGAACCUGUGACGUUCCGAUUCAAAGUCCAACACCUUAACCACUGAGCUCUUACCUCCCCAGAUGUUGCUCUCAUCUGCAAUUCCAUUCUAUCAUCCUUUAAUCUAGGAGUUACCAUUGUUUACUGCAUAGGUUUAGAAGAUAUGCUGGGAUUGCUGGCACUCGAUUUAUUAUUGUAUUUAUGAAGAGAGCCCUAAAUAAAAGUUUUGAAUUUGUUGGUUUUCUUCUCUGGUCCAAAUAUUAUUGGCCUCCCUAAAGUGCUACAGAUCUGUCCCUUGCCUCAGUCUGUGCCUCAGAAUCAGGUAAUCAGGAAUAUUAUUGGAGGUGAGAAUUCCUCAAGAAAUAAUAACUUCCACAUAAUGCAAUAUUAAAAAGAGCUUUAGAUAGUAAAAACAAAAGCAAAAUCUAAGCUAAUAUAAAAAUCUAAUAUAUAGCAAUAUUUACAGAGUUUGUGGAAAUCUGAUG